GUGUCAGCAGCCGCGGUAAUACGUAGGGGGCAAGCGUUGUCCGGAUUCACUGGGUGUAAAGGGCGCGCAGGUGGGUUGGCAAGUCAGAGGUGAAAUCUCCCGGCUUAACCGGGAAACUACCUUUGAUACUGCUGAUCUUGAGUAUGGAAGAGAGAGACGGAAUUCCAGGUGUAGUGGUGAAAUACGUAGAUAUCUGGAAGAACACCGGUGGCGAAGGCGGUCUCUUGGUCCAAUACUGACGCUCAGGCGCGAAAGCGUGGGGAGCAAACAGGAUUAGAUACCCCCGUAGUCC
rnacentral:rRNA from 1 species